rnacentral:rRNA from 1 species
UCAAAAACAUGUCUUAUUGAUAUUAAUUUUAAGUCUAACCUGCCCUAUGAGUUUUUAAAUGGCCGCAGUAUUUUGACUGUGCUAAGGUAGCAUAAUCAUUAGUUUCUUAAUUAGAAGCUGGAAUGAAUGGUUGGAUGAAAAAAAUUCUGUCUCUAUUUAGUUUAGUUUAAAAUUUUAUUUUUUAGUAAAAAAGCUAAAAUUAAUUUAAAAGACGAGAAGACCCUAUAGAGUUUAAUAUAUUAUUUAUUAAUAUUUAUUGGUAUAAAAAUUUUUGAUUUAAAAAUAUAUUUAAUUGGGGUGAUUAAAAAAUUCAAUAAACUUUUUUUAUUUUUAAACAUUGAUUUAUGAUUAUUUGAUCCAUGUAUAGUGAUUAUAAGAUUAAAUUACCUUAGGGAUAACAGCGUAAUAUUUUCAGAGAGUUCUUAUCGAAGAAAAGGAUUGCGACCUCGAUGUUGGAUUAAAAUGAAUAAUUGGUGUAGAAGCUAAUUUUAUUAGGUCUGUUCGACCUUUAAAAUUUUACAUGAUCUGA